CCCCAAAUCCACAAAGUGUCACCAAAUCACCGAUGGUGUCCCCAAAAUCCCCUCUGGGUCUUUUCCUGUGUCCCCUCUGUGUCCCCAUCAUGUCCCCAAAGUGUCCCCAAAUCAACAAAGUGUCACCAAAUCCCCUCCAGGUGCCACUUUGGUGUCCCCAAAUCCUCUCCAGGUCCUUUCCUGUGUCCCCUCUGUGUCCCCAAAAUGUCCCCAAAGUGUCCCCAAAGCCCCGCGGUGCCACCCUCAGUGUCACUUUGCUGUCCCCGCAAAGUGUCCCCAAAUCCCCACCCUCGGUGUCCCUAAAUUCCCUUUUAUGUCCCCUCCGUUUCCCUUUGGUGUCCCCAAGUCCCCUCCAGGUCUUUUCCUGUGUCCCCAAAGUGUCCCCAAAUCCACAAAGUGUCCCCAAAUCCCCGAUGGUGUCCCCAAAAUCCCCUCCAGGUCUUUUCCUGUGUCCCCCAAAAUGUCCCCAAAGCCACAGAAAUGUCCCCAAAGUGUCCCCAAAUCCCCGAGGUGCCACUUUGGUGUCCCCAAAUCCCUUCCAGGUCUUUUCCUGUGUCCCCAAAGUGUCCCCAAAUCACCGAUGGUGUCCCCAAAUCCCCUCCAGGUCCUUUCCUGUGUCCCCAAAAUGUCCCCAAAGUGUCCCCAAAUCCCAAAGUGUCACCAAAUCCCCGAUGGUGUCCCCAAAAUCCCCUCCAGGUCCUUUCCUGUGUCCCCAAAGUGUCCCCAAAUCCACAAAGUGUCACCAAAUCACCGAUGGUGUCCCCAAAAUCCCCUCCAGGUCUUUUCCUGUGUCCCCUCUGUGUCCCCAAAGCCACAGAAGUGUCCCCAAAGUGUCCCCAUCAUGUCCCCAAAGUGUCCCCAAAGCCACACAAGUGUCCCCAAAGUGUCCCCAGAUCCUCUCCAGGUCCUUUCCUGUGUCCCCAAAGUGUCCCCAAAUCCCAAAGUGUCACCAAAGCCCCGCGGUGCCACCAUCGGUGUCCCCAAACCCCCUCCAGGUCUCUUCUUGUGUCCCCUCCGUGUCCUCAGGUCCCUUCCUGUGUCACCUCUGUGUCCCCAAAUCCCCUCCAUGCCCCUUUUGUGUCCCCAAGUCCCUUCCUGUGUCCCCUCCAUGUCACCAUCGUGUCCNNNNNNNNNNNNNNNNNNNNNNNNNNNNNNNNNNNNNNNNNNNNNNNNNNNNNNNNN
rnacentral:lncRNA from 1 species